UUUAUGGAGAGUUUGAUCCUGGCUCAGGAUGAACGCUGGCGGUGUGCCUAAUACAUGCAAGUCGAGCGAACAGACGAGGAGCUUGCUCCUCUGACGUUAGCGGCGGACGGGUGAGUAACACGUGGAUAACCUACCUAUAAGA
rnacentral:rRNA from 1 species